AUUGAACGCUGGCGGCAGGCUUAACACAUGCAAGUCGAGCGGGGGAAGGUAGCUUGCUACUGGACCUAGCGGCGGACGGGUGAGUAAUGCUUAGGAAUCUGCCUAUUAGUGGGGGACAACAUCUCGAAAGGGAUGCUAAUACCGCAUACGUCCUACGGGAGAAGGCAGGGGAUCUUCGGACCUCGCGCUAAUAGAUGAGCCUAAGUCGGAUUAGCUAGUUGGUGGGGUAAAGGCCUACCAAGGCGACGAUCUGUAGCGGGUCUGAGAGGAUGAUCCGCCACACUGGGACUGAGACACGGCCCAGACUCCUACGGGAGGCAGCAGUGGGGAAUAUUGGACAAUGGGGGGAACCCUGAUCCAGCCAUGCCGCGUGUGUGAAGAAGGCCUUAUGGUUGUAAAGCACUUUAAGCGAGGAGGAGGCUACUUUAGUUAAUACCUAGAGAUAGUGGACGUUACUCGCAGAAUAAGCACCGGCUAACUCUGUGCCAGCCGCCGCCGUAA
rnacentral:rRNA from 1 species